UACGUAGGGCGCGAGCGUUGUCCGGAUUUAUUGGGCGUAAAGAGCUCGUAGGCGGCUUGUUACGUCGACUGUGAAAACCCGCGGCUCAACCGUGUGGCUUGCAGUCGAUACGGGCAGGCUAGAGUUCGGUAGGGGAGACUGGAAUUCCUGGUGUAGCGGUGAAAUGCGCAGAUAUCGGGAGGAACACCUAUGGCGAAAGCAGCUCUCUGGGACGGUACUGACGCUGAGACGCGAAAGCGUGGGGAGCGAACAGG
rnacentral:rRNA from 1 species